rnacentral:lncRNA from 1 species
AGUGUACUUACAUAUAAUAAAUAAAAAAAUCUUUAAAAAAAAAACAAAAAAAACCCAAAAACUAAUAAUAGUCAACAAAAUACUAAUCAGAUACUGGUAUUAACUGAAGUUAAGUGUGUUUGGAUUCUGGAUCCUUUGUAGUCUAGUGUGUGUACCUAAGUAUGGGUGCCCCUCUGUGUUUGUUUUUAUGGCUUAUGUUAAUUGCCUUACAUUAUAGACUUCAUGCUGGUAGUACUGCUAUGAUACUAUUUUUAUUCUUAUUUUCUCUCUCUCAGGAGCUGAGGACCAAACCAAGGCUUUUUGCUUGCUGGGCAAGCACAAUAGCACUGAGCUAAAUCCCCAACCCCCAUGAGACUAUUUUUAAUUCUGAGUUAUAUAUUAGAAAUUUUUUUGUUCCUUUCCUCAAGAUUUACAGUCUUUAAGAUUGUAAGUUUUCUUAACUGGGGUGAAUUAAAUAGGGGACAGAUGCUUUAAAAAUCAGAAUGCUAGUUUUGUUUUUUAAAGAUUUAUUAACUUAUUUCAAGAAUGUGAGUACAGUGUCUCUACCUUCUGACAGACCAGAAGAGGACAUCAGAUCCCAUUAUAGAUGGUUGUGGGCCUCCAUGUGGUUGCUGGGAAUUGAACUCAGGACCUUUGGAAGAGCAGUCUUAACUACUGAGCCAUCUCUCCAGCACCAGAAUACUUUUUUGAGAAGCUAUUAUUGAUGGCUGCCUUUUAUUCAAGUUUGAAUUAAUUUAAAUAUUUCUUGUUUUGGUUUAAAUUGAAUCUCGUGGUGGUUAGCUAGGCAGUUUUAUUUUUUUUUUUUAAAUAUUUAUUUAUUUAUUAUAUGUAAAUACACUGUAGCUGUCCUCAGACACUCCAGAAGAGGGAGUCAGAUCUUGUUAUGGAUGGUUGUGAGCCACCAUGUGGUUGCUGGGAUUUGAACUCCUGACCUUCGGAAGAGCAGUCGGGUGCUCUUACCCACUGAGCCAUCUCACCAGCCCCAGCUAGGCAGUUUUAUAACAAAGAGAAAUAUAAUCAGACUGGCAGAUGCAGAUCUAUGUUAGUUCAAGGCCAGCCUGGUUUACAUACUGUAUUUUUAAUUACACCCUGUCUCCAAUAAUACUUUUCUGUAUUAUGUAUAACAGAAGAGAAAAAAUAGCUUGUUAAGUAUUUAUAUGUACUUGAUUGGACAGUAAUCUGUCCAAUAAUUGUCUUACUAUUAUGGAUUAGAAAGGCAAAGCAAGAGGAUCACUGCUAAGUUUCAGCCCACAUUGAUUUACAAAGUGAAUUGCAAAAAAACUCAGGCUUAUGUACCCUAUUUAAAAAAAAAAAAAAAAAGUCUGGCCUGGUGUUGGUGGCAUACCCCUUUAAUCUCAGCACUUGGGAGGCAGAGGCAAUUUCUGAGUUUGAGGCCAGCAUGCUCUACAAAGUGAGUUCAAGGGCAGCCAGGAAACCCUGACCCUGUCUUGGAAAAAAAAAGUCUGAGUUAGAGGGGACAGAAGAAUUUUAUUUGAAACAACUUGAUUAUAAGUUUUUCUUAAAACUAAAUGUAAAAUUUUAAGAACUUAUUUUAUUUAUACAUGAGUGCUCAAUUUCCAUGUGUUCCUGUAUGGCAGAAGAGCAUUAGACCCUAUUUUUGAACGACAAGAGCCACCAAGUGGUUGCUGGGAAUUGAACUCAAGACUUCUGGAAGAGCAACCAGCGCUCUUAUCUACUGAGCCAGUCCUCUUUAAUGACCAUGAUUGAACACUAUGGGACAUGUAUCUUAUGAUCCUUUAAGAAGUAAGCUUUGUCUUUAAAAAGGUACCAAAAUUACUUGUAUUAUGCUUUAAUGUGAAAAUAACCCUCUUUAUUAUUUUUUGCAAUAUUGGUGUUGGUCUGUGGAUCAGGUAUAUUCCAAAACUGAACUGAAACUUCUCUUUGAAUCAUAAAAGCAUCAUUUUUUCUUUUUUUCUGAGUGAAAUUGUCUUUACAUUUAAUACCUUCUACCCUAAUCAAUAUAGUACUGUGAAUGUUCUGAUACUCGCUUAAGAAUUACUACAUGGAAACUGGGCAAGGUGGCACACAUUUGAUUUCAGCACUAGUCAGACAGGAUCUAGGAUAGUGAGUUCUAGGUCAGCUGAAAAGACAUAGUGAGAACCUUUUUAAAUUAAAAGACACACACAAAAUCCUGGGUGCUUGUGGUAGCAUACACCUUCAAACCCAAUACUCAGAAGGCAGAGUCAGUUAGGAUCUCUGAGUCUGGAUUAUAGUGAGUUCCAGUGUAGUCAAGUCUGUAUCCUGCCUUGAGAAGGGGGAGGGAGUGAGGGAAGGU